rnacentral:rRNA from 1 species
AUGCACCCGAGGUCGCGCAUUCGCGGACGCGAGCCGCCGCCCCCGCCCCCGCCGUCAUCGGGAGGACGAUACCGCCGACGGUCCCCGCCCCUGCCGCCGCCCUCCCCGCGGCCGCAGCACCACCAGCGCCGGGCCCCGCCGCGGCUCAGCAGCCCCGAACGGCCGCCCCCGCGCCGCCUGCUGGCGUUGGACGAGAAGCCCCUCCCGCCGCCGGCGGCCGCGCUCGUCGUCGCCGCCGAACGGCGCUGGCGCAACGACGUGCUCCUCGAGGCCGGCCGCCUGGCCGCCCACUACCUGGUCGCGCAGGGCGUCCUCCCCGACCACGUUCUCCACGCCCGGGAACACCCCAGCCCCAAGCAGCACCACGUUCUCCACGCCAGGGACGACCCCGUCCCCAGCCCCCGCCCCGAGAUCUCCGCCCCCGCCGGCUACGCCAGGAAGAGGGAUGACGACGGGCCGCCGCGCCCUGAUGACGACCCCAGAUGGCGACGCAACGGCGGCGGCGGCGCCGACUGGGGCCGCGACAAGAGGGACGAGGACGACGGCGCCAGGCUCGCCCGGGCCAAGUCCGGCUGGGACCGCAGGACCCAGAGCUUUGACGGAAGACGCAGGUACAACGAGGGCGAUGGCGGACGCGGUGCUGGCGGUGAUGCCGACCGGGGCGUUCGCCGGAGCCACCCGUACGACGAGAAGAAGAGACCCGCCAUGUCACGCUCCUACUCCCAGAACGACCGCCGGGCCUCCAGCGACGACCGCCGGCCACCCCCCAUCGAUGACCGUCGUUUGCCCUCUGUUGACCGCAGAUUGGACCGCAAGCGGAGGAGCAGAAGCAGAAGUAGAAGCCGGAGCCGGAGCCGGAGCCGGAGCAGAACCAGGCCCAGGAGCUCUUACAGUGGCAGCCGGAGGGAUCCAGACUGGCGACCACGCGGUGGUGAUUUCGAUCAGCCACGCACCGGCGAUCUGGAACUGGUGAUUCAGAGCAAGGUGCCAGCAGAGUCUGCAACUGUUGCCAGCCGUGACGGCGAUGUGGACGGUGAUGAUGUCGAUAAACUGCCAAGGGAUCCGAAGAUUCCUCGCUCGGAGGUGGUGAUGGUGGAGGCGAAAGACGGUGCCAGCCGCGAAGAUGAAGCUGCGGUGGAACCAGAGCAUGAUGGCGCCAGACAUGAAGAUGAAGAUGCAGAGUAUGAGUAUGAGGAGGUGGUGGAAUCAGAUGAUCAUGGUGAAGAUGAUGAAGGUGUCACCUAUGAAUAUGAAGAGAUGGAAGCAGAGGACAAUGGUCAGGACGAUGAGGCUGCUGCUGUUGCUGGCUUGAAUGAUGCUGAUGCUGAUGCUGCUGAAAUAAAUGCCAGCCACCAACUGCCCAUGGUGGAUGUUCAUCCAUCAGAGCCUGCUGAGGAACCGGCGCACACGCAGCCCCAUCUCAGCGACGUCGAGGAGGCCACGGAGGCAGAAGUUGCGCGUGUGGAUGCAUGCCUGAUUGAACCAGUGGCUGACAACAGUGGUUGUUCUGAAAUUAGAGGUGAAACGGAGGCUCCGCAAAGUCAACCUGAAGCUGGACUUCAAGCUAGAGGUGAAAUGGAGGCUCUGCAGAGUGAACUUGGAACUGAACUUCAAGUUAGAGGUGAAGUGGAGGUUCUGCAGAGUGAACCUGAAACUGAACUUCAAGUUGCGGGUGAAAUAGAGGCUCUGCAGAGUGAACAUGAAACUGAACUUGUUACCGAUGUAGUGGAGGCUCCGCAAAGUGAACGUGAAACUGAACUUCAAGUUGCAGGUCAAAUGGAGGCUCCUCAAAGUGAACCUGAAAUUGAACUUCAAGUUGCCGAUGAGAUGGAGGCUCCACAAAGUGAAAUGGAGGCUCCGCAAAGUGAACAUGAAUCUGAACUUGUCGAGGAAACUCCACAAGCGGAAAUUGAGCUUGGAACUGAACUUCAAGUGGCAGGUGAAAUGGAGGAUCUGCAAAGUGAACCUGAAACUGAACUUGUCGAGGAAACUCCACAAAUGGAAAUUGAGCUUGGAACUGAACUUCAAGUGGCAGGUGAAGUGGAGGCUCCGCAAACUGAACAUGAAUCUGAACUUGUCGAGGAAACUCCACAAAUGGAAAUUGAAGCUGCUGAUGGUGAUCCUACUAGAGAUGAAGAAGAGCUGCCGGCUUGGUAUCAAAUUUUUGACCUCAAUGUUGACGGAACUCGUGAGAGCUGUGAAGUGACUGAGAUUCCCGGUGAUCCUCCUGAAGAACAUGCUUGUGAUUCUCUGCCUGAUUUAGUUGGUCAGAUGAGCCAGCAAGCAUACUAUGAUCCUCCAGAUACUCUAAAUCAGGGUAUUGGCAUGCAUGAUUUGGAUAGGAACUACCAGAACAGCGAGCAGAUGCUUAUAAAUCAGAUAGCCGAUGAGCAUGGACAGGGUGAUCAACAGCUGGAGGGCGAGCAAAUAAACAAUGAGGAAACAAUGCUAAAGCAAGAUGCGGAGGAGCAGGUGCAGAAUGAGCAUUUGUUACCUGAUCGUGCUGCAGACGUUAAUCACCAGAUAAAGGAGGAACAAAUGCUUCUAGAUCGUGUUACAGUUGUGCAUGAGUUGGAUCAUUGUGAUCUGAACGGUGAACAGAUGCUACUAAAUGAUGGUUCAGUUAAUAAAUCUGCAGUUGAUGGGGACAAGUUAAAGGAUGGGCAAAUGGACCGGGCUGCAAAGAGACAAGCUACACUUCGCAGCCUGGACAAUGGCCAAAUGAUGAUUCCUAUAAUUAAUUUGGAUGACGACGACGACGAUGAUGAUUAUGCAGAGCAGCCUGAACGUAUGUGUUCUCAAGACGAGCAAGCCGCAAGCUUUCCUGACCAUCAGACUAACAUCCCAGCAUCUUCUUCAUCGGUUCCACCACAUUCCGGAAAUAGGUGGACUGGGAUGGGAGCUGUCAAUGCACAGGGAAUUCCCAGUGAUGAUGGUGUCCUAUAUGGUGGUGCGUUUGAUAAGAUACCAUUAGUCUGUUAUGUUUGUUCAUGCAUUCUUGGUCUUUUUCCUGGCUUCCUUUAUCCUGGACCGUCGAAGGCCGGGCGCUGGAGCCGGUCGACCGAGUUGAAAGAAGUCACAUUUCCUUGCUGGUCCAGGAAGAAGUGUCUGGUGGUGCCAACUCUGGUACAGGACUGUGCUUAUGGCUCUCUUUUUUCCUUGAAGAAGAAAAGACAUCGAAGUUGCCAAUCGGGGAGGCUAGCGAAUGGCCACCGCUUCAUAAGAGCAGCAGGCCGAGCUUACAGCGUGCCCGAAUGGAAGCACACCCGACAAGGCAUGAGCCAGAUGAGGCUCCUGCCUUGA